CCUCGCCGGGAGUCAGGCCCUGCGCAUGCGCACGCUCCGCCCCGGCUCCGCCCUCGCGCGCCGGGCGCCUGCCGGGGGAUUGCUGAAGCUUUGCAGAACUUGGUGAGAAAGUAAAUCUCGUCCAUAUUACUGCAUCUUGGCCAGCAGAAGUCAGCAUGAUGCAGUUGAGAUUCAGAUGAUUAUUUGGAAAGACCUGGCCAGGGCUUCCCUGGUGGCGCAGUGGUUGAGAAUCU